UACGUAGGGUGCGAGCGUUAAUCGGAAUUACUGGGCGUAAAGCGUGCGCAGGCGGUUCGUCGUGUCCGAUGUGAAAGCCCCGGGCUCAACCUGGGAAUGGCAUUGGAAACUGGCGGGCUUGAGUGUGGCAGAGGGGGGUGGAAUUCCACGUGUAGCAGUGAAAUGCGUAGAGAUGUGGAGGAACACCGAUGGCGAAGGCAGCCCCCUGGGCUAACACUGACGCUCAGGCACGAAAGCGUGGGGAGCAAACAGG
rnacentral:rRNA from 1 species